rnacentral:rRNA from 1 species
GGAAAGNNNCUGCAGUCGACGAUUCCUACGGGAGGCAGCAGUGGGGAAUCUUAGACAAUGGGCGCAAGCCUGAUCUAGCCAUGCCGCGUGAGUGAUGAAGGCCCUAGGGUCGUAAAGCUCUUUCGCCAGGGAUGAUAAUGACAGUACCUGGUAAAGAAACCCCGGCUAACUCCGUGCCAGCAGCCGCGGUAAUACGGAGGGGGUUAGCGUUGUUCGGAAUUACUGGGCGUAAAGCGUACGUAGGCGGAUCAGAAAGUUGGGGGUGAAAUCCCGGGGCUCAACCUCGGAACUGCCUCCAAAACUCCUGGUCUAGAGUUCGAGAGAGGUGAGUGGAACUCCGAGUGUAGAGGUGAAAUUCGUAGAUAUUCGGAAGAACACCAGUGGCGAAGGCGGCUCACUGGCUCGAUACUGACGCUGAGGUACGAAAGUGUGGGGAGCAAACAGGAUUAGAUACCCUGGCAGUCCACACCGUAAACGAUGAAUGCCAGUCGUCGGAUAGUAUACUAUUCGGUGACACACCUAACGGAUUAAGCAUUCCGCCUGGGGAGUACGGUCGCAAGAUUAAAACUCAAAGGAAUUGACGG